GACGAACGCUGGCGGCGUGCCUAAUACAUGCAAGUAGAACGCUGAAGAGAGGAGCUUGCUCUUCUUGGAUGAGUUGCGAACGGGUGAGUAACGCGUAGGUAACCUGCCUUGUAGCGGGGGAUAACUAUUGGAAACGAUAGCUAAUACCGCAUAACAAUGGAUGACACAUGUCAUUUAUUUGAAAGGGGCAAUUGCUCCACUACAAGAUGGACCUGCGUUGUAUUAGCUAGUAGGUGAGGUAAUGGCUCACCUAGGCGACGAUACAUAGCCGACCUGAGAGGGUGAUCGGACACACUGGGACUGAGACACGGCCCAGACUCCUACGGGAGGCAGCAGUAGGGAAUCUCCGGCAAUGGGGGCAACCCUGACCGAGCAACGCCGCGUGAGUGAAGAAGGUUUUCGGAUCGUAAAGCUCUGUUGUAAGUCAAGAACGGGUGUGAGAGUGGAAAGUUCACACUGUGACGGUAGCUUACCAGAAAGGGACGGCUAACUACGUG
rnacentral:rRNA from 1 species